AGGACCGACUUCCAGGCUAGCAAAUGCUACAUCUGCUUCAGCUUAUGCUCUUAGCUGGGCGGUCUAGAAGAAAUGGGAGUUAGAAGAGAUGGAACUAUUUCUGCAGUUUUACCAUAUAACAAUGGAUCUGUGGUGCUCAAUUUAGUUAUCCAUCUUCAGUUUCUUGGGCUGGUCAAACUCUCACAGGAACAAAGGAAAUGGAGGGGUCUGUGUGCAUUUAGAGUUUUCCCUUGGAAAUGUGAAACUGGACUGAAGAUUUUCGAACUUGAUGAUGGCUACAUUCAACCAGAGAAUAAAAGCCUCUCGAACCAGUAAGUUUUUCACAGUACUCCUCGUCUCAUUACUGUAGAUCAUCAUCUGGGUCGUUUGUGUGUUCUGUAUUUUUGACGUAGUUAAAUUACUUUCUUGCGUUGUCAAUACAAAAAUCUUGCAUGAGUUUCAGUUAAGGUUUCUCCUGCUGGAUCCCCAAGGAUUAACAAGGAUGGAAAUUUUGGUAGUAAAUGACGGACACAUUUUAGUGUCCGGUUUGUCUCACUUCUCUAUAUUGUUAGUGCUUAAUUUUGUAUUUAUUAUGUUAUUUUGUGUGUAUGUAUGAGUUUUUGGUAAUAAACUUUUGUGAAAAAAUUGUCUCAAAAAGUGAUAAACGCACCCAUAAAAUUACUAAAGGCACCCCAUUUUUAGAUAAGGGCUUACAAGUGCUAAAGGCACCCCCUUGGCGGAUAUGGGCGUUCCAUCUUGUUCACCAGUUUUUUGGCGGCAAAACACAGUUUGAAACUGUGAAAUUUUUCGAGAGGAUUUCUUUAGAGGAUUUAUUCUUGAAUUUGGAUUAGUAUCACCCUGUUUCGUGUAAACAUGGGUGGUAAUGGCUUUGGAUUCGAAAAAGUAGGGAGAUUGCAUCAAUUUGAAGAAAGCUGAGAGCGGAGAUAAUAUCAGAAUUUUCUUUGGUUAUUUUUGGAAGUUAUGCAAGCUGAAGGAGGAGUAUUCUUACGGAUUCGUAUCAAUCGAGUCAGAGAGAGUAUUGGCAAAUCAUUAUACGCGUAAACGGUUCAGGAAAGGAGAAUAAAAUCUAUGCAACUUGCUAGAGAAAAGAGAAGACCAUUUUUGAGUUAUUCUCGCGUGAUUUGGGGCCUGUGAUGUGUACGUGUAUAUAUAUGUGUUGUUGGAGUCAUAGGAGGGGGGGAAAGUUUGGGAGAGCGUACACAACGAAAAUCAGUGUUACAGAAAAGAUUUCUUCACCAGCUGAGAGAAGAAGAAGAAGAACAACAACAACAGACUGCAGUUCAAGUCUGUCGUUUAUAAGCCGUGGACUUUUUUCAACUGAAGAACUGUUAUUCCUGCGACAGUUUAGUUUAAUUAUUUCCUCUGUAACACUGGUCUUGCAACAUCUAUAAUUGCAGUCUCCCUGUUUUCACUAUUUUUUCUUCUUUUCAUUUUUUGUAAAUAUUUUUCAGCCAUGAAUCAAUAUUUUGAGAGGA